ensembl:snRNA U6 U6 spliceosomal RNA
GUGCUCCUCAGGCAGCACAUACACUACAGCUGGAAUGAUACAGACUAGCAUGGCCCCUGCAUGAGAUGACACAUGAAUUCAUUGUUGCAUAUUUUU